rnacentral:rRNA from 1 species
UACAGAGGUCUCAAGCGUUGUUCGGAUUCAUUGGGCGUAAAGGGUGCGUAGGUGGCGCCGUAAGUCGGGUGUGAAAUUUCGGAGCUUAACUCCGAAACUGCAUUCGAUACUGCGGUGCUUGAGGACUGGAGAGGAGACUGGAAUUCAUGGUGUAGCAGUGAAAUGCGUAGAUAUCAUUUGGAACGCCAAUGGUGAAAACAGGUAGCUGGGGCUGUGCUGACACUGAGACACGAAAGCCAGGGGAGCGAACGGG